GACGAACCGUGCGAACGUUGUUCGGAAUCACUGGGCGUAAAGGGCGCGUAGGUGGCCUGUGGAAGUCUGCGGUGAAAGCCCGGCGCUCAACGCCGGGUCUGCCGUGGAUACUCUCGGGCUUGAGCUUACUAGAGGCAGAUGGAAUUCCGGGUGUAGCGGUGGAAUGCGUAGAGAUCCGGAAGAACACCGGUGGCGAAGGCGGUCUGCUGGGGUGAAUGCUGACACUGAGGCGCGACAGCGUGGGGAGCAAACAGGG
rnacentral:rRNA from 1 species